AACGUAGGAGACAAGCGUUAUCCGGAUUUACUGGGCGUAAAGCGUGCGCAGGCGGUUGUGUAAGACAGAUGUGAAAUCCCCGGGCUCAACCUGGGAACUGCAUUUGUGACUGCACAGCUGGAGUGCGGCAGAGGGGGAUGGAAUUCCGCGUGUAGCAGUGAAAUGCGUAGAUAUGCGGAGGAACACCGAUGGCGAAGGCAAUCCCCUGGGCCUGCACUGACGCUCAUGCACGAAAGCGUGGGGAGCAAACAGG
rnacentral:rRNA from 1 species